GCCACCUGAAGAACACAUGGGGGAAGUUUCCCCGGAGAGCUCUGAAAACCUUAAGGAGUGCUAUAGCCAAGACAAGUCCUUGAGCAGAGAACUGAUGACCAAGAUGAGGGAACAGGCUCGGGGAUGCCAGUCCACAAGCUCAAGCUCACACCCAGAGUGAGAGUUGGAGCUGGGUUUGUUCUGGAAUCACAACACCUUGGAAGAUGGAGUAGCAUUGGUACAAGUUGACUCGAGUCAGAUAUCCAGGGUCGGAAGCCAGUGGUGCUGGAGAGAAAUGGGGUGA